UGCGGCCUCCGGGCGCCGCCUGGCUGCGCCGCGAGCCUCCCACCCAGCCCGGGGACGCGACCGGGGGCGCCCGGCGACCCGGACCCGGCACGCGGAGGGGGCAGCGGGCGGGCGAGCGCACGGACACUCACCCGGAGGCCGCAGGUGCCGCGGGGUCCUCCGGGGAGGUCGGGCCGGCCGCGGAGGGAGCGCGUUCCUUGGGAGCCAGCCCGGCGGCCGGUCCGCCGCCCCGGGUUUGCGGCAGCCGGUGCAGUAAUGCAAGUUUCCUGCGGGGCUCUUGACUUCGCGGAGUUGAAGGCGACGAUUCGGGACGCGAGUGCUCUUGGAGACAGUUGAGAAACACGGAGCUCGGCUGGCCCCCGUGGAGACACCCGAGCUAGGACGUCGCUUCCCUUUCCUGAAUCCUUUGGAAAACGGGGGUCGGAGGAAAGGUGCCACUCGCGACCUUGCUUACUAAGUAGCAUUCGGCAGGGAAAGUUCAAGAGUGAUCAGCAUUUUAACCGGGGCUCUGCUUGCCCCUGGAGAUCGUGGCCCUCACCAUAAAUAAAGGGCCCGCGCUGGGUUUGUCGGAGAACCACGAUUUAAAUGUAAGGCCCUCCCGACUUAAGUCCCAGUCUCAGAGCAGAUGCCGCGACCGCACAAAUGACCCUGGCGCAGGUAAAAUGGACGGGCCGGCCUACAGGGACGGCUCUGCACGUUGUUUCUUCCCCGUCCAGCCCCAGGACAGCUCUGUGGAGGAACCCACAAGUAUCAGGACAACUCAGGAAUGAAGUCCUGACACUUGCCACAACAUGGAUGAACUUUGAAAACACACUAAGUGAAAGGAGCCACUCACGAAAGGACAAAUACGGUAUUUUACCACAAUGAAAAGAAAUCCAGAUAUCUACAAACUGGGUCCCCAGUACCACAUGGCAACAAUCGGCUGUAGCUGAGAACUUCUGUGUCCCCUCAGACAAAGCUCUCCAGAUCACCAGUGUGUUACCCGGUCUUUUUACUCAUUUAUUACCAGAUGGCCCCUGAAGGAAUUUGUGUAUCUGAUUUCUGAUUAAACUGUAAAGCUUUCUACAAAUGUUCUUUAUAAAUCUGGCAUGUCGCUUUUUAUGGUUUCCUGACCACUGCAGAGAUUUUAAAACUUCUUUCUUUCAACAAAGCACAGUUAUUUU